GAACACUCAUAAUAUUUGAGAAAGUAAUUAUACAACACAGGUACUACCGGAAAGCUGUGGCUUAUAAUGAUUAAAUACGGAGAAACAUUCACUCUCUUGAGCAAAAGCAGUACAAAACCGUCGUCUACUUCUUUGCACAGGUAAUCAACAAAGGAUUGUCUUAGGUUAUCUUAAAUCCCUGAUGUCCCUGCAUUGCAACAGCUGAUUGCAUCUCAUUUUCGUAUUCUACAAAAAAAAAUUCCGGGUUUUGCUUCCACCAUUCUAACUUCCUUAAAUCCAGGAUAUUGACAAUAAAGCAUUUGCAGCAUCAUUGGAGUCGUCUGGGGAGGAAGAUUCUGAAUAAAUAAAAUGUUAUUUGGUGGAGAAGGUGCCUCCUGGACAGCAGCCUUAGCCCCCAUAUAUGGAAUUGGAGAAAGCUGCAACAUUUGGAGAGAGGAUGCUUACCAUCUAAGUUUGCUUAAAAAAAUUAUAAAUGAAAAGGAGAUAGUUGAACAUACAUAAUCAACUUCAUAUAUGACAAUAAGAAAUGCUAAAAGGGAAAAUUGGUACAGGAAAGCAGUUUAAUAUCAACAAUGGCAAAAUAAAGCAAAUACGAGUUGGUUAGCAUUACAUUACUUGAGCUUAGCAUGUCAAAAACGAGUCCUUAAUAAAAGCUUGACAUUAUUCUAUAAUACAGUCUACAAGUAUUAUUCAGGGGUCGAUCUUAAGCAAGCUUUUUCAGGAUUCAACAAGCUUCAAUUUUUAUAUACCAACCUGAUGUUUAAGAGUAUAGCUCUGGUUAAGAUCAUAAAUUUAUUUAAGAGCUUAAGAACACGUCCAGCUAGCGCACUUCAUUAACGAACCUAUCUUGAUAAGAACUUGUCAUAAUGAAUUUCAUUGUACUUGGCGGAUUUGCAACUCCAUAGGUUGAUUCUUAGGGAGCAACCCCCAAUGCAUGGAAAGAAGAACGUUUCACCUUGCCCCCACGGGUAUAGCACAGUGAUAAAGCAGGAGGGUUCUCUACGGAGUAUCAGAGGUUCCUCAACCCAGUCUUAUCAUAAACCUAUUUGGAGAAGCUACAAGGAUGUACUCUUCUUCUACCUUACCCCACAAACAACUAUUCCAUAGUCAAACCACAGAGACCCGAAUCCUUUCUAAUUGAUUCUUUCCUCUAGGUGUACCAUCAAUGCUAGUUCAAAGAUGCUUCUAUCAAGUGACCUUCUUUUACCAUGUCUAAACCAUUUAUAUACGUUUCCCCAAAAUUUACAAUAAGUCUGCACUAUCAAGCCCAAAUCAGAAAUAUGCUCUUUUUUAUUUUUAUUUUUUUGGGUCUAUUUUUCUUUGAUCAUAUGUAGUUGCCACCUAAACAAAAAACAUUAUAAUGCACCUCAAGAGAGAUUCUUCCUCUUUUCCAUGGGUUUAGGGAUGGCUCACUAUUUCCCAUAAUCUUGGAAGGGAUCUUGCACCAAAUCUUCAUGCAAAUUACAGAUCAUUAUACAAAAUACAUAAUGAGUCAGGCCUUUGCUAGGUCCUUGCAACAAAAGGUCAGUGUGUUUUUUACAUGGUGCAAAUGAACCUUUCUGUAAGCAAGAUGUCUGAUAGGAAACAUAGGACUACGCAAAUAAAAAUUUAGUAGAGCAAUAGAUUUUCAUAACUAAUUAUUCUACCUCAAUGUUUCAUGUUAAGUAAGCUUCUUUUUG
rnacentral:lncRNA from 1 species